rnacentral:tRNA from 1 species
GGAGAGAUGUCCGAGUGGUUUAAGGUGUAGACCUGGAACGUCUAUGUAAUCAAAAGUUACCGAGGGUUCAAAUCCCUCUCUUUCCG